ensembl:lncRNA
CUCCUGUGAGCCACAUAUGCCGUGGCAGGGAGCCAGGCUCAAGAUGUCUUGAUGGUACCAUGUUGGCCACUUGUGGAGUAUCCUGAGGAACAGGAUCAAAAGGAAGGUCCUAUGAGGGCGUCAGAGAGUAGGCAGCCCACAUCCAGAAGAUUCGUCACGCAGAGACCCCCAUGAAAGCCGGAACGAAGUUCCACUCACUGAUGGCAUUGAUGGCUGCUUUACAACAGCAUAUGGAGUAUGACAUCUGACCUGACACCUAGCGCCCCAAAAAGGACAGGACAGGGGGCAGGGCACCUGCUGCUUCAGGGCAAAGCAGCAGGUGAGGGGGAAGAGGAAGGAAGAGUGCCAGCCAGACCCCGCUCCCCAUCCUUCCCUCCUGUGGGGUUUCUAGCUUGGGUCAGGCUGAGACAAGGAGAGGGAAGCAGACUGGAGCUGGCCGUGAGGCUGAAUUUUAUAGAAACAGCGCUGGACGUUUUCACACCUGAAAAUUACUCUUAAUUACAAAAGUUAACAGGAGAGCAAAGCCAUCUGUCUGAGAUGCUGAUAAGAGAAGGAAGGUGCAAUGGAGUUUGAAGGCCAUAGUAGAUGAAGACUCCUUUGUAAAUUGAUGACACCUUGGUCCCACUCCUCCAUCUUUGUGUCUGGAAUGUCCCACCCAAUACAGGAUCCUUUCUUUCCGCUGGAUAUGCGUUUUCCAGUCAAGCACCAUCCCUUUGGGAGCCGUCCCUCCCAGCAUCACAGGAGCUUGUUCCUGUGUUCCCGAUGGGGUUCACCUGGCCUCCCAGGGGUGGGCUCAUCUCCUGAGCUUGACCAAUCGGAGGACUCCACCCCCCUGACCUACCAAGAAAGAGUUGCCCCCAACUGUGUUUUGUUAGAUUCUGUAUUUGCCUAUUUGGCAUCCAUCCAUCACAGGGCCAACUAUAUUAACUAUAUUUGCUUAUUUUCUGUAUUCUUGAUGCUCUACCCUUUGUGGCCUCGCUGACUGGGGAGAGACAGGGCCAGCUAAUUCCUAGUGAUGGUAAAUAACUUGCUUGCAGACACGCCUUGCACAUGCAUCCAAGCAGUCCAAGCCCAUACUCAACCGCCCCCUUCACCUAACUCCCUCCCACCACACCUGGAAUCACCCAGGGCGGACGCCAGAAAUCCAGGCACAGCCCGACACCCCAGAGCCACCGGGAUUAUUCCCACUAGCCAGUGCCCAGCUGUCACCCUGCCCCACCUCGCCUGUGCCCUGGAAACCCACGAAGGCUCUGGCUAGACUUCCCCUCCCUUUGCUGCUUCUGCCUCCUGAUGGAAAUUGGUGCUUCCCUGCGCGGCAGGACACGCCCCUCCUCUCAGGAGCUGACCUCUGCUCUUGUGUAAAUGAAGGGAGGCUGUGCUGCACUCUGCUGGGGCUGCCGCAGGAGCUGGUCACCCUUCCAGCGACCCCACCACUGAAAGCCAUGCGGCCUGCGGAGUCUGCGCGCCGGCAGAGCGCCAGUCCGCACCUGUAGCCUCGCAUUCGCAGAGCAUCCACCGCGCAGAUGGGGAAACUGAGGACAGAUGGGGGCCCAUGGAGGCUGAUCCAAGACGCUGCCAGAUGUCCGGCUCCGCCUGGUAGAGCCUGGGUGAAAGCUCCCGUGUGGCUUGUAAUAGGAAGCCUGGCACACAGCAGAGACCUGCCGCAGCGUCUGUCACCAAAUGAGGCCCCUGGGGCUCCCUGAGGGCUCCCCGUUCCCGGCUUUUGAGCAUAAGGAGGAUCGCGGGCCAAGGCCCUGGCAAGACACACUCUCAGAAUUUGAAUCUAAUAGACUCUGAUCAGACAUUUCCCC